CGCACCGUUUCUUGGCGCAUUGUAGCAGAUCCGAAAUAAAACCCUAGUAGCAUCAGCGCAAACCCUAGAACUUGGCCACACACACGCCUCUUUAUAAAUAGCAGCAACCAACACAGGAAGCUCAAACCUCAAAAGCCACAGCCAUCUCUGUGAGCGUCUCUCAUCUCAUAUGUGCUAGACUCUCCUCUUUAUUUUUUUUCUCUUUCUCUCUCGCUUGAUUUUUAUGAUUCGUUGUUUUCUGUUAUCUAUGUCUGUCUGCGUUUAGAUUUAUGCGUACUCAGAGGGGACUGUGACGAUUUGUGAUUUAAGGUCUCGUUCGUCGUAAUUGGCCCAAUAGGCCUUGCCGACCAUCCUGAUAUAUCACCACCCAUAUUCUGAGUCCCCCUUUUUUAUAACUAAAUUUGUGUUCUUCAAUUUUUUGGGUGUUUGAAUUGGCCGAUGAUUAUAUAUAUUUUUAAAGACAAGCAUAUGUCUGAAUCACUCUGUGUGGAUCAACCUAAUCUUCUCUAUGAGGCCUUUUCUUCUGGGUUUUUUUUUUUUUUUUUAGUGGGUUUGCAAUGAAUUAAGAUUUUUUUUUUUUAUCAAAUUGUUUGUUUUAACUUUUGUGCUUUUCAAAGCUCAAACUGCCUGUGAUGAGAACAAAUGGUAUUUGCGCAAAGUAUGACAGUUUGUGAUUACAUUUACCUACUGCCUUCCUUCUGAGGAUAGCUGGUCAGAAGUCAAUGGCAGCACAACCAAGAAGAAUAGAGAAUGGAAGUCACAGGCUGUCCAGGCAUUAUGAAUAGAGACUAUGGAGGUAUGCAAAUUGCAAAGCACUAAUUCUAAUACGCUUCAAUAAAAUUUUCAGGGUCAACUGAUCGAAAGUCAAUGGCAACCCAGCGAAAAAGACUAAAAAAUGGAAGAGACAGUAUGUACAGAUGAGCUUCUCCCUGGAUAGAGCUUAAAACUGAUUUGGUCAGCAUAAGCAUUGUCAGAGCUCAGGCACCAAAAAUAUAAAAUAUGUGAUCAAAGAGAAAUCAAUGCCCAAUUCAUAUGAGUAAGAAGGGAAGCAAAAAUUAAAUGGCGGAGAUUGCAGUAAACUUGGUCAUCAGCAAGUUAAAGAGGUUGCAGAAAUCAAAUAUGAACUGGAGUAUAUUCAGGCUUUUAUUAAGGAUGGAGAUGCAAUGGCAGAGAAAGAAGACACAAGCAACGUCGUAAAACUUUGGGUGAAACAAGUGCUGGAAGUAGCUGAGCGCAUGGAGGAUGUCCUAGAGGAGUACAAAUUCCGCAUGGCACAGCUACAAGAUGAUCAACCGCUUAGAUUCAAAGGUUUACUCCAAAAAGGUUCCUUACCAGGUCAAAAGUCUCAAACAUCGGCAUGAGAUUACCAAAGAGAUUCAAAAUAUCAAAGCAUUACUCUGCCAAAUCAAGGAGAAAAAAAUUAUAGAUAUGAAUUCAAAGAGCAAGGAUCAAGCAGCAACACAAAGGAUGUUACAUGGCAUGACCCUCGACUGGCAGCCCAUUUCACUGGGGAAGCUGAAGUUGUGGGGAUUGAUGACUAGAGAUAAAAUGAAAGCUUGGUUGGUGGAGGGCUCAUCUAAACUCUCCACAAUUUCAAUUGUAGGCAUGGCAGUCUUGGCAAGACCACUCUUGCUAAGAAAGCUUUUGACAACCAUAGAGUGAAAGAACAUUUUAAUUGUCAUAUUUGGAUCACAGUAUCUCAAUCAUACAACAUGGAAGGGCUUCUGAAAGAGAUGACAACACAAUACUAUAAAGCAAUGGGGCAGACAGCACCCAAGGAGAUCAACACCUUCAAUGUGAUAUCACUCAUUGCCAAAUUGAGGGAAUGUCUACAAAAUAAGAGGUGCGUUAUUUUUUUGACGAUGUAUACCAUAAAGAGUUUUGGGGAACUAUAAUGCAUUUAUUUCCAGAUGACGAUGAUAAGGGCACUAGGAUAAUAGACACAACAUGUGAUUAUGAUGUUACUUCUUCCUGCAGAGAGUUUUCAAUUGUAAUUAUUCACAAAAUGCAACCUUUACCUCCAGAAAAGGCGAUGGAACUCUUUUGCAAAAAGGCAUUCAAGUAGUUCAUCUUUGAGGGGCAUUGUCCCCCGGGGUUAGAGCAACUGUCUGUUGACGUUGUUGCAAGAUGCCAAGGAUUACCUCUUGCCAUUGUGGCUAUAGGUGGUCUACUGUCAACCAAAGAAAUUAUUGCCUCUGAAUGGAAAAGCUUUCAUGAUAAUCUCAUUAAUGAGCUAGAAAUUAAUCCACGACUUGCAAUUAUCAAAAAAAAUUUGUCCUUCGGUUAUCACAAUCUACCAUAUUACCUUAAAUCAUGUUUCUUAAUACUUUGGCGUGUAUCCUGAAGACUAUUCUAUAAGAUGUUCAAGGUUUAUUAAACAGUGGAUAGUUGAGGGUUUUGUAAAGGAAGAUGAGAAAGGUAAGACAUUGGAGGAGAUGGGAAGUUCAAUUGGCAAAUUACUGAACCUCCAAACUCUGGAUCUGAAGCAUACUAAUAUGAAGUUUCUUCCUAAUUCAAUACAGAGACUGCAGAAACUUAAGCACCUAUACAUAACCCGAAGUACAAUUCGGCCUUAACUAUUGACAUUCCCUUGCAGUAUCUCCAAAGUUUGAAGAAUCUCCAAACGUUGACGGGGGUAUUUAUAGAUAAUUACCCGUAUCUAGUCAAUGGCCUGGACAGCCAAGUUCCUGGGAUUCAAAGAAAGAGCAAGGGCCUGGGCCAAGUCUUGGUACUUUUUAAAAAAGCAAAGACCUGGUUCUGGAUCAGGGCUUAGGCGAGUUAAUCAACCUUAGGGAAUUGAAACUUGAACGUCAGCUUUUCCUGUCAGAGCAAGUAAACAUGGUAAAGCAUGUUAUGAAACUGAAUCACCUUCAAUCUUUGCAGUUGACAUCAUAUCCUAUAAAGGAAUCAUGGGGGCAUCUAAAGUUGGAGCCUUUGUCAGGCCUUGAAAAUCUUUCUCGACUAAAGUUGUCAGGAGAUAUAGAUAAUCCAUCCAUUAUUGUAAACACAAAUGUACUCCCACAAAAUUUGAUUAUACUUACAUUGGUUGACUCUGCACUUAGAGAUGAUCCAAUGCCAGUAUUACAGAAGCUUCACAACCUCAGAUCACUGUAUCUCAAUGAUAGAUCUUACAUGGGGAGUAGCAUGGUUUGCUCCAAGGGAGGCUUUCCCCAGCUUCAAGUUUUGAAAAUGUCGUUUCUGUUCAAUUUGGAAGAACUGAUUCUGGAAGAACAAGUCUUGCAAAAGCUUGUGGAGUUUUAGAGAUUGUAGACAGCCGUAGUUUAAAGGUCCUCACUGGGUUAGAGAAUUUAAAGACUCUCCAACAAUUGAAGUUAACUGAUAUGUCAAAAAAAUUCAUAGCAACAAUUGAGGAAACCAAAGUUCGAACAUGGGCCAAUCUUGCCUUACUUAUUAGGCGGCCAUGGUGAAUGAAACUCAAAACUUAUUCACGUGUAUGGUUGGUCUUUCUUCCCCUUCUCCGUUCCUUCUCAUAUUUUUGCAUUUUUAAAAAAUAAAUUGUGAGAACUUGGAGCUGCACCUUGUAACAGGUGCCUGGUUCUAUCACUUGCCCGUACCAGAUAACUGAGUGGUGUUGGAAGAAAAUCUGACAAGUUUCUUAUAGAUGACAUCUUGAAAUUCUAUUGCGCUCAUCUUGGGCUUGGGAUUGCUUGUUUUUUCUUUUCAGGUGUUGCUUAUCUAUUUGUUUCUUGGUUAAUAGGUGUUUUAUGAAUAUUGUAUUAUAUCCAAAUAAAAUGGUAGACUUCGUUACUGGCACAAAGUCAUCUGAUAUCUGGUAGACUGGUUCCAUUUUGUAUUUCUUGUCUUAUGUUCCUUUUCAUCUUUUUGUAAUAAUUUCUGUCAAACUGGCAAGUUUUUAUGGCUCAUUGGCACUGUUGAAUUAUUAGCAAUUAUGCGAUCUAGUUUUCUUUCA